rnacentral:rRNA from 1 species
GAUGAACGCUGGCGGCGUGCCUAAUACAUGCAAGUCGAGCGAACGGACGGGAAGCUUGCUUCUCUGAUGUUAGCGGCGGACGGGUGAGUAACACGUGGAUAACCUACCUAUAAGACUGGGAUAACUUCGGGAAACCGGAGCUAAUACCGGAUGAUAUUUUGAACCGCAUGGUUCAAAAGUGAAAGACGGUCUUGCUGUCACUUAUAGAUGGAUCCGCGCUGCAUUAGCUAGUUGGUAAGGUAACGGCUUACCAAGGCAACGAUGCAUAGCCGACCUGAGAGGGUGAUCGGCCACACUGGAACUGAGACACGGUCCAGACUCCUACGGGAGGCAGCAGUAGGGAAUCUUCCACAAUGGGCGAAAGCCUGACGGAGCAACGCCGCGUGAGUGAUGAAGGUCUUCGGAUCGUAAAACUCUGUUAUUAGGGAAGAACAUAUGUGUAAGUAACUGUGCACAUCUUGACGGUACCUAAUCAGAAAGCCACGGAUAACUACGUG